GUAGUCAUAUGCUUGUCCCAAAGAUUAAGCCAUGCAUGUCUAAGUAUAAGCAAUCUAUACGGUGAAACUGCGAAUGGCUCAUUAAAUCAGUUAUCGUUUAUUUGAUAGUACCUUACUACUUGGAUAACCGUGGUAAUUCUAGAGCUAAUACAUGCUGAAAACCCCGACUUCGGGAGGGGUGUAUUUAUUAGAUAAAAAACCAACGCCCUUCGGGGCUUCUUGGUGAUUCAUGAUAACUUAACGAAUCGCAUGGCCUUGCGCCGGCGAUGGUUCAUUCAAAUUUCUGCCCUAUCAACUUUCGAUGGUAGGAUAGUGGCCUACCAUGGUAUCAACGGGUAACGGGGAAUG
rnacentral:rRNA from 1 species